rnacentral:rRNA from 1 species
AGCGUACACGGUGGAUGCCCUGGCAGUCAGAGGCGAUGAAGGACGUGCUAAUCUGCGAAAAGCGUCGGUAAGGUGAUAUGAACCGUUAUAACCGGCGAUGUCCGAAUGGGGAAACCCAGUGCAAUUCGUUGCACUAUCGUUAACUGAAUACAUAGGUUAACGAGGCGAACCGGGGGAACUGAAACAUCUAAGUACCCCGAGGAAAAGAAAUCAACCGAGAUUCCCCCAGUAGCGGCGAGCGAACGGGGAGCAGCCCAGAGUCUGAAUCAGCUUGUGUGUUAGUGGAACGGUCUGGAAAGUCCGACGGUACAGGGUGAUAGUCCCGUACACCAAAAUGCACAGGCUGUGAACUCGAAGAGUAGGGCGGGACACGUGGUAUCCUGUCUGAAUAUGGGGGGACCAUCCUCCAAGGCUAAAUACUCCUGACUGACCGAUAGUGAACCAGUACCGUGAGGGAAAGGCGAAAAGAACCCCGGCGAGGGGAGUGAAAAAGAACCUGAAACCGUGUACGUACAAGCAGUGGGAGCACCUUCGGGUGUGACUGCGUACCUUUUGUAUAAUGGGUCAGCGACUUAUAUUCUGUAGCAAGGUUAACCGUAUAGGGGAGCCGCAGGGAAACCGAGUCUUAACUGGGCGUUAAGUUGCAGGGUAUAGACCCGAAACCCGGUGAUCUAGCCAUGGGCAGGUUGAAGGUUGGGUAACACUAACUGGAGGACCGAACCGACUAAUGUUGAAAAAUUAGCGGAUGACUUGUGGCUGGGGGUGAAAGGCCAAUCAAACCGGGAGAUAGCUGGUUCUCCCCGAAAGCUAUUUAGGUAGCGCCUCGUGAACUCAUCUUCGGGGGUAGAGCACUGUUUCGGCUAGGGGGUCAUCCCGACUUACCAACCCGAUGCAAACUACGAAUACCGAAGAAUGUUAUCACGGGAGACACACGGCGGGUGCUAACGUCCGUCGUGAAGAGGGAAACAACCCAGACCGCCAGCUAAGGUCCCAAAGUCAUGGUUAAGUGGGAAACGAUGUGGGAAGGCACAGACAGCCAGGAUGUUGGCUUAGAAGCAGCCAUCAUUUAAAGAAAGCGUAAUAGCUCACUGGUCGAGUCGGCCUGCGCGGAAGAUGUAACGGGGCUAAACCAUGCACCGAAGCUGCGGCAGCGACACUAUGUGUUGUUGGGUAGGGGAGCGUUCUGUAAGCCUGCGAAGGUGUGCUGUGAGGCAUGCUGGAGGUAUCAGAAGUGCGAAUGCUGACAUAAGUAACGAUAAAGCGGGUGAAAAGCCCGCUCGCCGGAAGACCAAGGGUUCCUGUCCAACGUUAAUCGGGGCAGGGUGAGUCGACCCCUAAGGCGAGGCCGAAAGGCGUAGUCGAUGGGAAACAGGUUAAUAUUCCUGUACUUGGUGUUACUGCGAAGGGGGGACGGAGAAGGCUAUGUUAGCCGGGCGACGGUUGUCCCGGUUUAAGCAUGUAGGCUGGUUAUCCAGGCAAAUCCGGAUAAUCAAGGCUGAGGUGUGAUGACGAGGCACUACGGUGCUGAAGUAACAAAUGCCCUGCUUCCAGGAAAAGCCUCUAAGCAUCAGGUAACAUCAAAUCGUACCCCAAACCGACACAGGUGGUCAGGUAGAGAAUACCAAGGCGCUUGAGAGAACUCGGGUGAAGGAACUAGGCAAAAUGGUGCCGUAACUUCGGGAGAAGGCACGCUGGUGUGUAGGUGAAGCCCCUGCGGGUGGAGCUGAGACCAGUCGAAGAUACCAGCUGGCUGCAACUGUUUAUUAAAAACACAGCACUGUGCAAACACGAAAGUGGACGUAUACGGUGUGACGCCUGCCCGGUGCCGGAAGGUUAAUUGAUGGGGUUAUCCGUAAGGAGAAGCUCUUGAUCGAAGCCCCGGUAAACGGCGGCCGUAACUAUAACGGUCCUAAGGUAGCGAAAUUCCUUGUCGGGUAAGUUCCGACCUGCACGAAUGGCGUAAUGAUGGCCAGGCUGUCUCCACCCGAGACUCAGUGAAAUUGAACUCGCUGUGAAGAUGCAGUGUACCCGCGGCAAGACGGAAAGACCCCGUGAACCUUUACUAUAGCUUGACACUGAACAUUGAGCCUUGAUGUGUAGGAUAGGUGGGAGGCUUUGAAGCGUGGACGCCAGUCUGCGUGGAGCCAACCUUGAAAUACCACCCUUUAAUGUUUGAUGUUCUAACGUUGGCCCCUGACCGGGGUUGCGGACAGUGUCUGGUGGGUAGUUUGACUGGGGCGGUCUCCUCCCAAAGCGUAACGGAGGAGCACGAAGGUUAGCUAAUCCUGGUCGGACAUCAGGAGGUUAGUGCAAUGGCAUAAGCUAGCUUGACUGCGAGCGUGACGGCGCGAGCAGGUGCGAAAGCAGGUCAUAGUGAUCCGGUGGUUCUGAAUGGAAGGGCCAUCGCUCAACGGAUAAAAGGUACUCCGGGGAUAACAGGCUGAUACCGCCCAAGAGUUCAUAUCGACGGCGGUGUUUGGCACCUCGAUGUCGGCUCAUCACAUCCUGGGGCUGAAGUAGGUCCCAAGGGUAUGGCUGUUCGCCAUUUAAAGUGGUACGCGAGCUGGGUUUAGAACGUCGUGAGACAGUUCGGUCCCUAUCUGCCGUGGGCGCUGGAGAAUUGAGGGGGGCUGCUCCUAGUACGAGAGGACCGGAGUGGACGCAUCACUGGUGUUCGGGUUGUCAUGCCAAUGGCACUGCCCGGUAGCUAAAUGCGGAAGAGAUAAGUGCUGAAAGCAUCUAAGCACGAAACUUGCCCCGAGAUGAGUUCU